AUGAACGCUAGCGGCAGGCUUAACACAUGCAAGUCGCGGGGCAGCGCGGGAUAGCAAUAUCCUGGCGGCGACCGGCGGAAGGGUGCGUAACGCGUGAGCGACAUGCCCGUUGCCCGGGGACAACCGGUGGAAACGCCGACUAAUCCCCGAUGGGAUAUUGUGCCGCAUGGCACGAUAUUGAAAGUUACGGCGGCGACGGAUUGGCUCGCGUCCGAUUAGCUUGUUGGCGGGGUAACGGCCCACCAAGGCUGCGAUCGGUAGGGGUUCUGAGAGGAAGGCCCCCCACAAUGGGACUGAGACACGGCCCAUACUCCUACGGGAGGCAGCAGUGAGGAAUAUUGGUCAAUGGGCGGAAGCCUGAACCAGCCAUGCCGCGUGCGGGAAGGAGGCCCUAUGGGCUGUGAACCGCUUUUGCCUGGGGGCAAUAAGGGCGUCGCGCACGUCCGAUGAGAGUACCAGGCGAAUAAGCAUCGGCUAACUCCGUG
rnacentral:rRNA from 1 species